GAGGGUAUAGCUCACUGGUAGAGCACAUGCUUAGCAUGCAUGAAGUCCUAGGGUCAAUUUCCAGUACCUCCA
rnacentral:tRNA from 1 species